AUACGGAGGGUGCGAGCGUUAAUCGGAAUUACUGGGCGUAAAGCGUGCGUAGGCGGUUUGCUAAGUCAGAUGUGAAAGCCCCGGGCUUAACCUGGGAACUGCAUUUGAUACUGGCAGACUAGAGUAUGAUAGAGGGGGGUAGAAUUCCUGGUGUAGCUGUGAAAUGCGUAGAUAUCAGGAGGAAUACCAGUGGCGAAGGCGGCCCCCUGGAUCAAUACUGACGCUGAGGUACGAAAGCGUGGGGAGCGAACAGGAUUAGAUACCCCAGUAGUCC
rnacentral:rRNA from 1 species